UGGAGCAGCGGUAGCUCGUCGGGCUCAUAACCCGAAGGUCGUCGGUUCAAAUCCGGC
rnacentral:tRNA from 1 species